AAUUUUCGGCAAUGGGGGCAACUCUGACGCAGCGACGCCGCGUGAGCGAUGAAGGUUUUCGGAUCGUAAAGCUCUGUCCUUGGGGAAGAAGGCGGCCAUUUUUGGCCACUUGACGGUACCCAAGGAGGAAGCCCCGGCUAACUACGUGCCAGCAGCCGCGGUAAUACGUAGGGGGCAAGCGUUGUCCGGAAUUAUUGGGCGUAAAGGGUGCGUAGGCGGCCUUUUAAGUCAGAUGUGAAAGGCCACGGCUUAACCGUGGGGUUGCAUUUGAAACUGGAGGGCUUGAGUAUCGGAGAGGGUAGUGGAAUUCCCAGUGUAGCGGUGGAAUGCGUAGAUAUUGGGAGGAACGCCAGUGGCGAAGGCGACUACCUGGACGAAAACUGACGCUGAGGCACGAAAGCUAGGGGAGCAAACA
rnacentral:rRNA from 1 species